rnacentral:rRNA from 1 species
AACGAACGCUGGCGGCGUGCCUAACACAUGCAAGUCGUGCGAGAAAGUUCCUUCGGGAGCGAGUAAAGCGGCGCACGGGUGAGUAACACGUAGGUAACCUGCCCCCCAGUCUGGAACAACUAGAGGAAACUCUAGCUAAUGCCGGAUGAGACCACGAUCCCUUCGGGGGUUGCGGCCAAAGAUGGCCUCUACUUGUAAGCUAUCGCUGAGGGAUGGGCCUGCGGGCCAUUAGCUUGUUGGUGAGGUAACGGCUCACCAAGGCUGUGAUGGCUAGCUGGUCUGAGAGGAUGACCAGCCACACUGGGACUGAGACACGGCCCAGACUCCUACGGGAGGCAGCAGUGGGAAUAUUGCGCAAUGGCGAAAGCCUGACGCAGCGACGCCGCGUGGGUGAUGAAGGCCUCGGUCGUAAG